UAUGAUUUGAAAGCUCUGCAGUUGAUUUUCAUGUACAGCCAAGUCUGAGAACCACUGACUAAAACAAACCUAAAUGGGUAUUUCGUUUUUCUGAAUUCAGUAUCCAAAGCUGCCACUCUCACAACAGUUGACCCAAGAAAAAGUGAAUGAAAACUUUGAUCAUCUCAUGGAAGUCUAUCUAAAGAAAUCUGACCUAUCAGGAACACCAGUAAGAAUGAAGAAGGAAUCCAAACCACCACACAAAUUGGUUGAUCACUUGGCAAAGUGGCCUAUCUGUGAAGAAGCCAGCACCUGUCUAGAGACCAGGUCUAGAAUCCAGGGGUGAAGUGUUUGAGCCACGGAGGCUGACCAUAUGAGAGCAGCUGGUAGCAGCUGAUCCUGUAACCUUGUCUCCAUGUUGCAAGAGGUAUACAUGCAGAUAAUACCAGAUGCAUCCUGGAACUAAUAGCCUAAAGUAUUUCUGGUUCUGCAAUUGUUUUUGAUAAGGAGAAAGAAUUCUUAUUUAAAAGUAUAUUUUGGUCAAGUUAGAAAAUUUGGAGAAGAAACGAAAAGCGAUCUUACAACAACUGAAAAUACUUUUCCAACAUGAAGUCUUAAAUUUGCACCACGUUUUAUAAUCAAAUCAAGAAGAGAGCUUGCUUUGCUUAUAUUUCUCCUUUUGAAACUUGGCUAUAGAAGAUAAGCACAAGCAUAAAAUGACUGACAACAAUAUUUGCCUGUUUCUUAAAUUUUUUACUUUUUUGUGCACUUUUCAACAAAAGAUGCACCUUAAAUCUCAAAUACAUUUUGCCCUUGGCAGCCUUCAGCUGCAGUACCUCUUGAAGAAAUUGGCUUCAUAACCCACAGAGAAUUGUGCAGUAUUCAUCACCAUCAAGCAUCACAGUUCUCACACUUCCGAAUACUUAAAGAGCCUCAAUUACUAAUUUUCUUAAAGGGCUUUGUUGUUUUCUAGCAAAAAAGCAUAUUAUCAUUUUACAAACAUAGAAUUCAAUCCAAACUUCAUCUCAGCGUAUUCCUUGCAUCUUUUCCUUCUUGGAGCCGAAUACUAUUAAGAAGACUGUUUAUCAUUUGUAACUUUAGUUCUCUUCUCCACAUAUUUUCAAGAACGUUUCACAUAAUAAUAUCAAUAAACAAAUCUGAGCCACAGAAUGCA
rnacentral:lncRNA from 1 species